UACGUAGGGGGCAAGCGUUGUCCGGAUUUACUGGGCGUAAAGAGCGCGUAGGCGGAAAUUUAAGCGUGGCCUGAAAGCCCCCGGCUCAACCGGGGAGUGCGGCUGCGAACUGGGUUUCUUGAGGACGAUAGAGGAGAGUGGAAUUCCUGGUGUAGCGGUGAAAUGCGUAGAUAUCAGGAGGAACACCCGAGGCGAAGGCGGCUCUCUGGGUCGUACCUGACGCUGAGGCGCGAAGGCGUGGGGAGCGAACGGG
rnacentral:rRNA from 1 species